rnacentral:tRNA from 1 species
GCAGAGGUCGCCUAGCCCGGCAUGGCGCGGGCCUUGAGAGCCUGUGCGAGCAAUCGCACGGGGGUUCAAAUCCCCCUCUCUGCGCCA